UACGGAGGGUGCAAACGUUGCUCGGAAUCAUUGGGCGUAAAGCGCACGUAGGCGGUCUCGAAAGUCAGAUGUGAAAUCCCUCGGCUUAACCAAGGAAGUGCAUUUGAAACUCCGAGACUUGAAUAUUGGAGAGGGUCGCAGAAUUCUCGGUGUAGAGGUGAAAUUCGUAGAUAUCGGGAGGAAUACCAGUGGCGAAGGCGGCGACCUGGCCAAAUAUUGACGCUGAGGUGCGAAAGCGUGGGGAGCAAACAGG
rnacentral:rRNA from 1 species